UUGGUGAGGGGAAGGCAUGCGGCUUACAGAGAGGAGGAGAGAUAGAGGGGGAGGGUUUCAAUUUGUUAUUUGGGGUCGCUUCUGGGAUCAAUUGCUUGCCGGCAUUUGAAUUCGGCUUCUGGGAUUGCGAAAUUCUUCGAUUCGAAGUCACUUCUCUCUAUGGGGGUCCCUUAGAGUUUACGUUUAUCGUGCAAAGCACAGAAGACCCUGCUUAUCGGGCUGUAUCUAUGCUACUAUCAGAGCUUAAGGACGAGGUUGAUGUUAAGAUUGUUGUGGCUGGUAUUUCAACAACCUGCAGUCAGAAAAUUCACAACCAAUUGCAAAAAACCUUGCGGCGAGCAAACAGGCAUAACCAAUUCUGCCAGAAUUGCUGGAGAAUUCCACAACCAAGGUCAUUGAGUACGGCCGGAAGCAUGUUGAGGGUCGAGACGGCGAUAGCACUGAUGUUGGCAAGAGCGGUGAUCCCUUUUCAAGAUUGUUGGGUCCAAAAGAAGAAGAAGGAGUGAACAACAUGAAAUUGGCUUUGGGUUUUGGGGUGUUCUUGCUAGAAAAGCCAAAGACAUUCUCGACGAUGAUGAUAAUGGAGUUCAGGAUUAUGAUUCACCCUGAACAAGAAGGACGGAUAUGCUGUCUAUGCCAACAAGGGGGUAAGGCUAUGUUGGAGCAAAAACUGUGCAGGCAAAGACAUAAGAGUGAUGGAUUUUGGAAUGAAAUGCAGAGGAUAUCAUUUUGUGCUGCUUAAGUUAAAGUUUCCUCUUCUGUUAUAUUUGUGUGUUGGAUAUUGUAGAAAAUUAAUAUAAGUUGUAUAUUCAUGAUAACUGGCUGAUUAAGAUUACUUACAAGGGGUCUAUAUGCACAGGAGAGCUCAGCAUGAGGGUGCUGUUGGUUUACCUUGCCUGGAAGUGUUGCAGUGCGGGGUUGUUCAAGAAAAAAGGUUUUAAAGGAUCCUUUGCAGAUGCAGGAUCUUCUGCUAAGAUUGUGUGAACCGUUGCUUCAGCCAAAACAGGUGCUCUCUCCAUUUUUCAUCUCUUCCAUACUCAAACCCUAGCCGCUCCACCUCUCUCUCCCACACAUAAGCAAACUCCAUCUGAAAGCCGAAGAAUCCAAAGGAACAACAGGGAUUGUAGACUACACAAACUUAGAAGAUAUGAAGUACACGAUCAAAAAGCUUGAUGGCUCUGAGUUUUGAAAUGCUUUUGACCGCCAAUCUGUUCCCUGGUGCUCUUUAGGGUUUAACUAUUUGAUUUCACAGAUUCAUUUCAGACACGGUUGGUCAAGGACAUGGGGAGAAGAGCACUUUGGAAAUGGUAAGGUGCACAAAUAUGGAAAAAGCACGACAGGGGAAAGCUGGGAUAGUGUUGUGGAUGAGGAGACCUAUUACGAGUGAGUCUGGACUUGGUUCUGGUUCUGUCUACAUAUAGUAUGUUGAAGCUCCAUUUCUUGAAAUAGCUUGCAUAUUAAUGCACGGACUAAUUGUGGUUGCAUCCUAGCUAGCUACGAAGGGUCUUUAGUCUUAGCCACGACUUGUAUGAAGGACUGUUCCCAGUUCCUGGUGGGGUUGUGAAUAUGACUCUACAGAUGGCCUACAGAUGGACUAGCUACUUACAAUCCUUCUUAUCAUCUUUGAGUAAGAAAAAUCAAAGCAUUAAUUAUUCUGCAUGAGUUUUCAUGCAUUCACCAUCGUGUGAAUACAUCAGAGUUUUUGGCCAAAUUUUCCACAUAAAAUUUAAUCCUCUCAACUUCCUAACAUUAUCAAACAUUAAUUUAAUCCUCUGAACAAAUUAAAGAAAGAUAGUUUUAAAGUUGAAUCUGAUCUGGAGAUAAAGUUGACACGGCAACUUGAUGAUGUUGCUGGUGAUGUAUCUGGAAUUUGUUUAUGGUUUUGCCAACUAUACAAACUAAGUCGUUUUUGCUCUUA